GCAGUCGUGGCCGAGUGGUUAAUGCGAUGGACUAGAAAUCCAUUGGGGUCUCCCCGCACAGCUUCGAAUCGUGUCGACUGCG
rnacentral:tRNA from 1 species